rnacentral:rRNA from 1 species
GCGGGCAACCGUGAUAAGGAAACCCCGAGUGCCAGCACAGGCUGGCUGUCCGCCAGUGUAAACAACUGGUGAAGAAAGGGCCGGGCAAGACCGGUGCCAGCCGCCGCGGUAAUACCGGCGGCUCGAGUGCUGGCCGCUUUUACUGAGGCUUAAAGGGUCCGUAGCUGGAUUCACAAGUCCCUUGAGAAAUCUAUCGGCUUAACUGAUAGG